UACAGAGGUCCCAAGCGUUGUUCGGAUUCACUGGGCGUAAAGGGUGCGUAGGUGGCCGUGGAAGUUCGGUGUGAAAGCUCGGAGCUCAACUCCGAAAAGUCAUUGAAUACUCUACGGCUAGAGGGUCGGAGGGGAGACUGGAAUUCUCGGUGUAGCAGUGAAAUGCGUAGAUAUCGAGAGGAACACCAGUGGCGAAGGCGAGUCUCUGGACGACACCUGACACUGAGGCACGAAAGCUAGGGGAGCAAACAGG
rnacentral:rRNA from 1 species